CGUGCGGGUGCUAUAAUGCAGUCGAGCGAACAGACGAGGAGCUUGCUCCUCUGACGUUAGCGGCGGACGGGUGAGUAACACGUGGAUAACCUACCUAUAAGACUGGGAUAACUUCGGGAAACCGGAGCUAAUACCGGAUAAUAUAUUGAACCGCAUGGUUCAAUAGUGAAAGACGGUUUUGCUGUCACUUAUAGAUGGAUCCGCGCCGCAUUAGCUAGUUGGUAAGGUAACGGCUUACCAAGGCAACGAUGCGUAGCCGACCUGAGAGGGUGAUCGGCCACACUGGAACUGAGACACGGUCCAGACUCCUACGGGAGGCAGCAGUAGGGAAUCUUCCGCAAUGGGCGAAAGCCUGACGGAGCAACGCCGCGUGAGUGAUGAAGGUCUUCGGAUCGUAAAACUCUGUUAUUAGGGAAGAACAAAUGUGUAAGUAACUAUGCACGUCUUGACGGUACCUAAUCAGAAAGCCACGGCUAACUACGUGCCAGCAGCCGCGGUAAUACGUAGGUGGCAAGCGUUAUCCGGAAUUAUUGGGCGUAAAGCGCGCGUAGGCGGUUUUUUAAGUCUGAUGUGAAAGCCCACGGCUCAACCGUGGAGGGUCAUUGGAAACUGGAAAACUUGAGUGCAGAAGAGGAAAGUGGAAUUCCAUGUGUAGCGGUGAAAUGCGCAGAGAUAUGGAGGAACACCAGUGGCGAAGGCGACUUUCUGGUCUGUAACUGACGCUGAUGUGCGAAAGCGUGGGGAUCAAACAGGAUUAGAUACCCUGGUAGUCCACGCCGUAAACGAUGAGUGCUAAGUGUUAGGGGGUUUCCGCCCCUUAGUGCUGCAGCUAACGCAUUAAGCACUCCGCCUGGGGAGUACGACCGCAAGGUUGAAACUUCAAAGGGAUUUGACGGGGACCCGCACAAGCGGUGGAGCAUGUGGUUUAAUUCGAAGCAACGCGAAGAACCUUACCAAUCUUGACAUCCUCUGACCCCUCUAGAGAUAGAGUUUUCCCCUUCGGGGGACAGAGUGACAGUGGUGCAUGGUUGUCGUCAGCUCGUGUCGUGGAG
rnacentral:rRNA from 1 species